UACAGAGGGUGCAAGCGUUGUUCGGAAUUAUUGGGCGUAAAGGGCGCGUAGGCGGUUCGGCAAGUCUCUAGUGAAAUCUCAGGGCUCAACUCUGAGUCUGCUGGGGAAACUGCCGGGCUUGAGUGUGGGAGAGGAGAGUGGAAUUCCCGGUGUAGCGGUGAAAUGCGUAGAUAUUGGGAGGAACACCAGUGGCGAAGGCGGCUACCUGGACCGGUUCUGACGCUGAGGCGCGAAAGCGUGGGUAGCAAACAGG
rnacentral:rRNA from 1 species